UUAGGUGAAGAAAGACGGACAAAGCGAUCGGAAUGACUGCCAGUAUCUGGGGCGGCUUGUUCUAUUGAGGCCUCGUUAAUCAUGUUACAGAAGUACCGAAUCUUAGGGAAGAAAGGCGAAGGUAGCUUUGCAGAGGUUCUUGCCUGUCAGAACCUAAGAGAUGGACAGGUGUACGCGUGCAAGCGACUUAAGGGGGAUUUUACAAGCGCCGACCAAGCUUUGAGUUUAACAGAAGUUAAAGCACUUCGAAGGUUAAAUCCUCAUUCCCACAUCGUCCAACUCUAUGAUGUUAUAUA